CCUACGGGAGGCUGCAGUGAGGAAUAUUGGUCAAUGGACGAGAGUCUGAACCAGCCAAGUAGCGUGAAGGAUGACUGCCCUAUGGGUUGUAAACUUCUUUUAUAUGGGAAUAAAAUGUUCCACGUGUGGGAUUUUGUAUGUACCAUAUGAAUAAGGAUCGGCUAACUCCGUGCCAUCAGCCGCGGUAAUACGGAGGAUCCGAGCGUUAUCCGGAUUUAUUGGGUUUAAAGGGAGCGUAGGUGGAUUGUUAAGUCAGUUGUGAAAGUUUGCGGCUCAACCGUAAAAUUGCAGUUGAAACUGGCAGUCUUGAGUACAGUAGAGGUGGGCGGAAUUCGUGGUGUAGCGGUGAAAUGCUUAGAUAUCACGAAGAACUCCGAUUGCGAAGGCAGCUCACUGGACUGCAACUGACACUGAGGCUCGAAAGUGUGGGUAUCAAACAGGAUUAGAUACCCCUGUAGUC
rnacentral:rRNA from 1 species